rnacentral:lncRNA from 1 species
AUAAGACCCGGGCGGAGGGGAGAGGCCGUUCUUCAGAGAGAGGACGCAGGCACCGCCAGACUUAUUAGGAAACAUGUAGUCGGGGUCUUGGCAGGCGCGGGCGCGGCGGGCGCUUCACGUGGUCCUGCGCGCGUCUGGUUACUGUCAGGCGCUGCGCUGGGCCCCGGCGACCCGACCUCCUCCUCCCCGGGCGGGCGCACGGCUGGCCGCACCGCCUGCACCGCUCCGGAUCCAAACAUUUCCACAUUAGGCAGCCUCAGCGUGCUCCCGCCCCUGGCCGUGACCUCGGGUGACCUCCGCGGCCGGGCUCAGAGCCAACCCUCCCUCUCCCCAGCCCCAGGUGCUCUCGUGGUUGUUUUCUGGGUCAUCCUUGGGAUCUGGUGUCCAGGCCUUCAGCAAAAUUCAGCAGACGUUCCUCAGUGCUCUGGCUCGUCUUUUCGCCAUUCACACAGACACCCCUGGGAACAUGGGACAGGAGCUGGGGCCUCUUGUUCAUGCUCUGAUUAUAGCGCCCAGCGGCGUACGCCGGCCCCUCGAAAAUGGCACCAGAGGUGUGAUGGGAGAUUAGCUGAACAGAGAGAAGACUCAGCAAGCACAUCACCUUGAAGUUGACCUGUCAGCCAGAUUUCACAGCACCUGCCUGUUCCAGCCUGAGGGGCUGCGAUUCAUUCCUUGGGACAGAGAGCCGCAAAUUCUGCCUUUAGGCCACAGUUCAAGUCCUUGCCACUCUCUCCCAGGCUUUGAAGGACACAAGAGAGACAACUCUAAGGCAGGGGAAUUCUUCCCAGGGAAGCUUUUCCACUCGAAUUAGCUUUUAUGACACCUUCAAGCCAUCUCUAAGAAUCUGGUCUUUUGACAUGUGCGAAUAUUCACAUCUCUAUAUAUAAACAUUAAAAUCUGCAUCAGAAUCUACAUGCUUGUUGAGCCUCCUGGAGACUGGGUCCUGAGUGGUAUGCUCCCCUUCCCAAGCCCUCUGGAGCAGGGACCCCUGGAUUGGAGGCAGUGGGAAGAAUCCUGGUGAAUCAGGUGUUCCUGUCCAUUUGCAUAAACUGAGCGCCCUGCCUGCCAACCCCACACGCUGAGUACUGCUGGGAAGAAGCGAAGAAACAUUUAUCAAAGGGCAGGAAAAAUUAGGGCCUUUUCAUUAAGAUCAGAAGAUUUUUGAGGUUGGAUCAGCUGCCCAGGUGCAUGACCAAGUUUCUUGGCUCCUUGGAAGCAGGAAAGUAUUUGAAAAAUAAUAGAGUCCUUAGUCCUGUAAGUAAAGACCCAUUUAUCUCGGGAAUUAAAAAAAAAGUGCUGGGGAUGGGAAUUUUCCGAUGAGAUGCAUUACUUCUCACCUGAGUGUCUUGAAUGCCUGCUGGAUUUGUCUCCCUGCUAAGAUACUCACACUUGCAAAUGUGUGCUUUUCAAGGUGAGGAGAUGAAAAUAAAAAAGUCUGUGAGGCGUGUGUCUGGGAGGGA